CCAAGAUUUUAGGCUCUUUCAUGUAUAUACAAAUACCGAACGAGGAAAGAAUUUGGCGCGUACAACUUAAUAUAACAACAAAUUUCUUUGUAUACGAACAAUUGACUUAGCAAAUAACAGUAACGAUACUGAGAGAGAGAAUAUUGAACUGAUAAGAUAACAUUAGGAUACCUUGAGGUCGUUUUGUUACCGGAAUUCUGGAUAAUAUUUAUCCAAUGUUUAGUAUUAUCUAUUCUAUAUUGGCUAUGGGAUUAUAAUCAUAGGAUAAACUUGUUCCGAACCAAACGAUCCCUUAAAGGUAAAUAGAGGGCCUGCAUAAUUUUAUAUAUGGCACUGAUGUAGCUUUUUAAUGGAAACCGCACCAUUAAUUUGCUCUUGUCUAACGCAUAAAAGAAAAAAUAAGUUGAUUUUUCAAUAAUAAUCUGCUUUCUGUAACAAUUGGAUGUUUACUUUGAGUGGUGAAUCUGCACAUCUUAUGCCAUAACAAAUUAAGAGAUAUUUUAUAUAACGCAACCUUAACAUAAAUAAUAUAGUGACACAAGACUACCAUAAACCGAGAAAAAGCCUAAAAUCAUCCCUUCUAUUUGGCUUUACACUCAAAGUUAUCCUCCUCCUUUCACAUGGAGCACUAAUAGUCCUUCAUGUUUGAAUUAUAGUGCACUUUCGGUCCCAUUCCUAACGGCUGUCUAUUCGUUAACUUCUCAUCUGUGCAUGUAAACUCACGUGAGGAAUUUUUCCUCCCCAAAUGUGUCUCUGCUCAUUGUUUCUGGAUAUCCUGUUAAUUUGGUCUAAUAGCAUCAGAUUCCAUUCAAAUUCAAAAUAUAACCGCAGUAAACCACUAAUGGAUCACGUCCAGUUAGUUUUGCUCCAGUUUUUUUCCGGUUAUUGCUCCAGAUUUCUGUUUUAAUUGAGAUAUAUAAUUUAAAAAACUUAGAAACCACCACUUCCCCCGUAUUCUUCUCACGAUCACACGCCCUCGCACCAUUAUAUUUUCUCAAUUGCACCCCCAUACGUGUAUAUACAUUCACAGAUUAAAAAUAAAGGACGUGUAAUUCAUCUUCAAACACACACACACACACAGAGAACAAAGAACUCAUAGCCCCUCACGACAUGCCGCCAUACCGAAUGUCUGGAAACUAUGGGCAUGAGUUCUCAAACUGGACUUCAUGGCAGGCAAGUGAUCAAUAUGACUUCACAUCAAGUUUAUCUUUCCCCAAUUUUAGAGGGGAAGUUGAACUUUCUGGUUAUCUCAAAGGAUUCAAAUUUGGAGAGUGUGAUUGGUAAAGUUUGAUUCUUUUUCAAAUUGAAUAUAAUUCGGUUUUCAGAGAAAGCUAAUCUUUUACCAACCAGAUUCUUAGUUCCUCAGUUUUUGAUUCGAGAAGUCCCAAAUUAAAUCUCCAACAGACAUCUCGGAAAUCUCUGUUUUUCGGCGGAUUUGAUUGGUAAGAUUUCUACCUCUACUUUGUAUAUAUGUACUUAUAUAUAGAACCCUGUUUUCGAAAUUUCCUAUUGUUUUAUGAACCAAAUUUUUAAUUCAUCUUUGGGCAUUAGUUCUUACUGAUAUGAUCUUGAAUUAUGAAUUGGGUUUAAGUAUUUUAUAUGAUGCGAGUCGAGAUAGCGACAGUGACACGUUGUUUGGCUGAAACGCUUAGGAAUGUAAAGCACUUUUUUGCCUUCAAAUUACUUAUUCUCGAGGUUAGUGAGACAGAAGCUAAAAGAGGAAGUUUUGCUUGAGAUUUAAUUCUUACGGUACCAUCUUAUAUAUACAGAUGCUUAAGACUGUACUUUUGAAGCACAUAUGUUUAGCAUGCGUAUAUGGUAUAAGACCGUUUACACUAUUUUUAAUGUGUUUGUUCUUUAACAUUUUUGUUUGCAUAAUCUAUCUUCUCAUUAGCAACUUCACCAACAAGAAGAUGUAAUGGAAUUUGACUUCUUUAACACAUGAUUAUGGAAUAUACAAGGCUGGUUUUUUGGCAGAUGGUCCAAUAAAU